rnacentral:rRNA from 1 species
CAGUCGCCACGGUAAUACGGAGGGAGCUAGCGUUGUUCGGAAUUACUGGGCGUAAAGCGCGCGUAGGCGGUUACUCAAGUCAGAGGUGAAAGCCCGGGGCUCAACCCCGGAACUGCCUUUGAAACUAGGUGACUAGAAUCUUGGAGAGGUCAGUGGAAUUCCGAGUGUAGAGGUGAAAUUCGUAGAUAUUCGGAAGAACACCAGUGGCGAAGGCGACAUACUGGAUCAUUACUGACGCUGAGGCUCGAAAGCGUGGGGAGCAAACAGGAUUAGAUACCCCCGUAGUCCCUGUCUCUUAUAC